rnacentral:rRNA from 1 species
UACGAAGGGGGCUAGCGUUGUUCGGAUUUGACUGGGCGUAAAGCGCACGUAGGCGGAUCGUUAAGUCGGGGGUGAAAUCCUGGAGCUCAACUCCAGAACUGCCUUCGAUACUGGCGAUCUUGGAGUCCGGAAGAGGUGAGUGGAACUCCUAGUGUAGAGGUGGAAUUCGUAGAUAUUAGGAAGAACACCAGUGGCGAAGGCGGACUCGACGUG